AUUGAACGCUGGCGGCAUGCCUUACACAUGCAAGUCGAACGGCAGCAUGGAAGAGCUUGCUCUUCUGAUGGCGAGUGGCGAACGGGUGAGUAAAGCAUCGGAACGUACCGUGUAGUGGGGGAUAACGUAGCGAAAGUUACGCUAAUACCGCAUACGCACCGAGGUGGAAAGCAGGGGAUCGCAAGACCUUGCGCUAUACGAGCGGCCGAUGUCAGGUUAGCUAGUUGGUAGGGUAAAGGCCUACCAAGGCGACGAUCUGUAGCGGGUCUGAGAGGAUGAUCCGCCAGACUGGGACUGAGACACGGCCCAGACUCCUACGGGAGGCAGCAGUGGGGAACUUUUGACAAUGGGGGAAACCCUGAUCCAGCCAUGCCGCGUGAGUGAAGAAGGCCUUCGGGUUGUAAAGCUCUUUCGGCUGGGAAGAAAUCGCACAGGCUAAUACUCUGUGUGGAUGACGGUACCAGCACAAGAAGCACCGGCUAACUACGUGCCAGCAGCAGCCGCAG
rnacentral:rRNA from 1 species